CAAGAUUCAUUUUCUAUGGUAUGUUCCACCCCGUUGUGCUCUGCUGAUGAUGAUGAUGACCGAAUUGAGAUUUUUCAAAGCUUCUGAUAAUUCGUCGCCAUUUUUUUGCCUUUAUUUUUUCAAACAAGUCCAUGACUUUCUGAUUUGGUGAAGUUCAAAAAAAAAAUAAAAAAUUAAUGAAUGAAAUUAAUAAGUUCAAUUAAUGCUUGAAAACUUACAAUGGUAAACUCUAAAUAUGAUUGCUUGAUUUUAGGCGUGAAAAAAGCAAUUGAAUAAUGGAGAAUAAACAGAUUUGUAAUGGGAGAGAAAAAGAGGGAGGAAAAGGUAGCCUUUUUGGGAUGUCAUUACUAAAUAAAGAGAUUAUUGUAAUUAUUUUGGGCUUUAUAUAAAUACUUUACCAAUUUGAGAUUUAAUGUAAUUAUGUAACUUUAACUUGUGUAUAUAGGUAAAAAUGUGUAUAUAGGUAAUUUUUAGUUAAUUAAUUUACAAAUAUUUAUCAGCACAAAUAAAUAAUACAAGCUACAAAUAAGCAAUAUAAAGUACAAAAAUAGAUAUAAGAAUUGAAAUUGGGCCCUUAGUUGACCCAUAACUAAAGCUGCCCAUUGUUUGGGCUUUGAAUUAUGGACUUUAGGUCCAUUUUUCUGAACUGUAUACCAGCUGUAUAUCACAGCUGUUUCCCCUGCGUUUUUCAUGUAUAUCUCCAAGUAUACACUGUAUAUCAGUGUAGAAAUCAACAUAUUUCUUCGCCAUCUUUUAUUAUACACUGCGGUAUAGUGCCCAGAGACUGUUUUCAGUGUAUAUACACUGUAUGUCAGCAUAUACCAGCCUUUGGAUAGAUUUUGAUGAAGAUUUUUGACUCGAGUAAGGAUGGUUUUGGUCCCAAGGAAAUGCAGGGGCGAUAGAAUCCAGUUGGACUCAUCAAGAAGAACAUAAACAAGAGAGGAAAACUAAAUUAGUAAUUAUUCAAGUGCUCUUAACGCAUAACUUAAAAAAAAGAGAAAUAUAUAUAUAACCAUUUGCUCAACGAUGUAAUAAAUGAAGGAAAGACAUACCACAAAAAGGUAAUCAAAGGUGUUUAGCUAAGUAAUUCGUAUGACAUGGAUAAAUCAAUCAAUUAAAAUAGCUUUACCGAUGAUUGAAGCUUGAGGAAACAAAUAAUGAUAAAAACUAAGCUAUUAAGUCCAAGCUUUCCAUGAGAUAGACUUAGGCAUCAUUUGUUUGCACUUAAUGGAGGUCUGAAUCUGAAUGGUUCAGACUUCAGACCAUUAAGUGCAUUUGUUUUUUAUUAAGGUUUUAACUCUGAAUAGGUCUUAAUCAUUCAGAUCUAGAACCAAGUCUUAAUAGGUCAGAAGAGAUAUUUUAGUGUUGGAUAAUAUUCACCACUCUAUUCGUAUUCAGCAGUCACUACCACUAACCACCUCUGCCACCAUCACUAUUGUCAACCACGACACACCUCCACCAUCACAAUCACCAUCGACAAAAAAUACCGCUACCAAUCACAAUUGUCAACCGCUACUACACCUACUACCUCUUUUAUUCUAAUUAUAUUCAUCGUCACCACUGCCGUCAACAACACCACAAUCAGCAACCACUACCGGUCAAUCUCUACUACCAACCAACUCAUCUAUCACAACUAGCACCACCACUAACUACCACUAAUACAUCACAACCUCUACACAUUUUUUGGCCGCCACUACCAUUGUCACUAGUAACGCCACCUCUACCACCACUUCAACUAGUACCAUCACUACGAUUUAUCUCAACUAACAACCAUCUCCACCAUCUCAACUAACAACCAUCUCCACCAUCACACAAUCAACACCUUAAACAACUAACAUCAAGCAACGUCACAUCACAACAACCACCACCACCAUCAAUCACCACCAUCAUAACAGUCAUUACAAUACCGACCAUCACAAUUAAUACCAACAACAUCAUUAAUCACUAACAUCAAUCAUCGUCACCGCAACUACCAUUAUAAGUCAUCUCCACUAUCACUAACAAACAUAAAUAUUUUUUCUCAAUCAAAUACUAAUAAUUUUGUUAUAUUAAAUUACAUACUUUUUUAAAUAUAUAAUUAAUUUUUUAUUUGAAUUGUAUUUUUUAUUUUAUUAUAUAUACAAAUAAUUUUUUUUAUACAUUCAGAUGUUGAAAAACAAACAGUUUUAAUCAUUCAUUUUGCAGAUCUAGAGACAACAUCUUAAUCAUUCAGAUCUGCAUUCAGAUUCAGACGUCUGAAUCUUAAAACAAACAAAUGGAGCCUUAAGGCCAUAACAUAAUUCAUGUAUUAUAUACUAUCAACAACUUAUGCAUUUAUCUGGAAAAUUUUAUUUAUUUAUUUAUUUUUAUUUAUUUUUUAUUUUUUUAUUGCUCCCAUGAUUCACAACAAUGAUUAUUAUGUAAACCAAAGGAUUUGCCAAGUGAUUUACUAACAGAGGUAGCAUAGAAAGAUUCAGAUCCUCAAAAUUUCAGUUUUCCAUUCUAGUGGAUUAUAGCGCAAUAAUUUGUAAAAAAAAUACUAGGUGCAUAAAAAGGCCGCUGAUGUUGCUCAGUUACCACUCUCAACCACAACGUUAUGUCAAGAAGAUGCAAAGUAACAUCAUGUGCUAAAAAAAAACAUGCUUCUAAAAGAAGAAAAAAAAACAGGCGAGAAUUUUGCAACAAAGCCAUAUUUAGAGAUACUAUACUUUUUCUGUACACCGGUAAGCCUCCUAGUUGCUGCCUUUUAUCAAAAACAGAUCCUAACUAAAGGAUAAAUGAAAUUUCGCCGCAUUUAAGAAAAAUUCACAGGAGAAAAGCCAAAGAUCGAAGCCCACUCGAUAUGAAGAAAAAUCGUUAAGAAUCUUCAGUCCAACAAAGUCGAACACCGCAUAUAAUUUCAAACAAGCCCAAACCACAUAAAAGAAAUACCAUAUCGCAAAAAUACAUAACAAUAGUAAUGUUUUCAUUUUUUCUUACACACAAAGUACAAACACAGAUAAACGGAAAAAGAUUCAAAAGGAUGAAGUGAUCACCUUUUUUCGGGCAGCGAACUGGAACGAUGAGUCAACGACUUCACCAUUGUGUUUCUUCGAGAAUUUUUGAUUGCGUAGGAUUAGAAGCACGCGCCUUCCGAAUCCUCAAUUUACCCCCAAGUCCUCCCCUUGACCCCCAUCCCUCAUCGUCUAUUUAUAGAGGAAAAAAAUUAGGGAUUUUCGGACUUCAAAUCUAAAUUGGAGUUGAUUUUCUUGAGACGUUUGAAUUCCAUAGUGAGACAAAAGGGAAGCUAUUGGGAAUUAAUUACUUGCCGAAAAUGGUGAUCCAAAGACAUCGAAUGAUGAAAGGCCUCUGAUCUUUUUUCAAAAAUGGACUGAAAAUUAAAUUCAUACUCGUUGUUAACUAAACGUUGUUGAAGCUAAUGGUUGUUACGGGUUUUGUUGGAGUAUUGUCGUUUUUGGCUGUGGGUUAGGGACGUUUGCUCGCUGUUUUGUUACGGUGUUAUUGAAGCUGUAUUGCUG
rnacentral:lncRNA from 1 species